GAUGAACGCUAGCUACAGGCUUAACACAUGCAAGUCGAGGGGAAACGGCAUCGAAAGCUUGCUUUUGAUGGGCGUCGACCGGCGCACGGGUGAGUAACGCGUAUCCAACCUGCCCAUCACUUGGGAAUAACCUUGCGAAAGUAAGACUAAUGCCCAAUGACAUCCCACGAAGGCAUCCGAAUGGGAUUAAAGAUUUAUCGGUGAUGGAUGGGGAUGCGUCUGAUUAGCUUGUUGGCGGGGUGACGGCCCACCAAGGCAACGAUCAGUAGGGGUUCUGAGAGGAAGGUCCCCCACAUUGGAACUGAGACACGGUCCAAACUCCUACGGGAGGCAGCAGUGAGGAAUAUUGGUCAAUCGGCGAGAGCCUGAACCAGCCAAGUAGCGUGCAGGAUGACGGCCCUAUGGGUUGUAAACUGCUUUUAUAAGGGAAUAAAGUGGGUCACGUGUGACUUUUUGCAUGUACCUUAUGAAUAAGGACCGGCUAAUUCCGUG
rnacentral:rRNA from 1 species